GGACAUUAACGCCAUCUUAUUCAACAUGUAUGGAAGUUAACGCCAUCUUAUUCAACAUGUAUGGAAGUUAACGCCAUCUUAUUCAACAUGUAUGGAAGUUAACGCCAUCUUAUUCAACAUGUAUGGAAGUUAACGCCAUCUUAUUCAACAUGUAUGGAAGUUAACGCCAUCUUAUUCAACAUGUAUGGAAGUUAACGCCAUCUUAUUCAACAUGUAUGGAAGUUAACGCCAUCUUAUUCAACAUGUAUGGAAGUUAACGCCAUCUUAUUCAACAUGUAUGGAAGUUAACGCCAUCUUAUUGAACAUGUAUGGAAGUUAACGCCAUCUUAUUCAACAUGUAUGGACAUUAACGCCAUCUUAUU